UGUGUGUGUGUGUGUGGUGUGUGUGUGUGUACCUCUCCUUCUCCUGGGUUCUGGGUCCUGUGUGAUUCUAAGUCAGCAUACGUAACUCUCUGGGUUCAGCAGCUAUGUGUGUGUGUUGUGUGUGGUGUGUGUGUACCUCUCCUUCUCCUGGGUUCUUGGGUCCUGUAUGAUUCUAACAUCAGCAUACGUAACAUCUCUGGGUUCAGCAGCUAUGUGUGUGUGUGUACCUCUCCUUCUCCUGGGUUCUGGGUCCUGUAUGAUUCUAACAUCAGCAUACGUAACAUCUCUGGGUUCAGCAGCUACAUCUUUGUUCCUCUUGCAGAACAGGACCAGUAGAAUGAUCAGAGAGAUGGAGAGAAAGCCACCAACCCAGAGACAGACAGAGAGAGGAGGAGAGAGAGGGGGGAGGGAGGGCUUUGGGAGGAGAGGAGGAUGGGGUAGAGCCCCUAGCUUGAAAAACACAAGAGAAAAACAUCAGAAAAGUUAUAAUCAAACUGUUUAAUAUUAUCUUAGACAUAUUGUGCCUUCGGGAAGUAUUCAAACCUCAACUUUUUUCUAAUGUUGUUAUAUACAGUACCUGUGUGUUAUAGUAUAAUGUUUGUAUAUUACAGUACCUGUGGUGUUUAGUGGUAAUGUGUUGUUAUUAUUACAGUACCUGUGGUGUUAUAGUAUACAUUGUUUAUUACAGUACCUGUGGUGUUAUAGUGUAAUGUUGUUAUAUUCAGUACCUGUGGUGUUAUAGUAUAAUAUGUUAUUUACAGUACCUGUGGUGUUAUAGUAUAAUGCUGUUAUAUUACAGUACCUGUGGUGUUAUCAGUAUAAUGUUGUUAUAUUCCAGUACCUGUGGUGUUAUAGUAUAAUGUUGUUAUAUUCCAGUAUCUGUGGUGUUUAGUAUAAUGUUGUAUAUUACAGUACCUGUGGUGUUAUAGUAUAAUGUUGUUAUAGUACAGUACCUGUGGUGUUAGUGUACUGUAUAUACAGUACCUGUGGUGUUAUAGUAAAUGCUGUUAUAUUACAGUACCUGUGGUGUAUAGUGUAAUGCUGUUAUAGUACAGUACCUGUGUUGUUUAUAGUAUAAUGUUGUUAUAUUACAGUACCUGUGGUGUUAUAGUUUAAUGUGUUAUAUUACAGUACCUGUGGUGUUAUAGUAUAAUGUUUUAUAUUACAGUACCUGUGGUGUUAUAGUAUAAUGUUGUUAUAGUACAGUACCUGUGGUUUAUAGUAUAUGUUGUUAUAUUACAGUACCUGUGGUGUUAUAGUAUAAUGUUGUUAUAUACAGUACCUGUGGUGUAUAUGUAUAUGUUUGUAUUAUUACAGUACUGUGGUGUUAUAGUAUAAUGUUGUUUAUUCCAGUACCUGUGGUGUUAUUGUACAAUGUUGUUAUAUACUUGUUAUAUAACGUACCUGUGGUGUUAUAGUAAAUGUUGUUAUAAUUACAGUACUGUGUGUAUAAUGUUGUUAUUAUUACAGUACCUGUGGUGUUAUAGUACAAUUUGUUAUAUUACAGUACCUGUGGUGUUAUAGUAUAAUGUUGUUAUAUUACAGUACCUGUGGCGUAUAAUGUUGUUAUAUUACAGUACCUGGUGUUAUAGUA
ensembl:lncRNA